AGUUUUAUAGUUUAAAACAAAAUAUUAAAUUGCAAAUUUAAAGAUAAAAUAUAAUUUUUGAAACUU
rnacentral:tRNA from 1 species